rnacentral:rRNA from 1 species
GACGUAGGGCGCGAGCGUUGUCCGGAUUUAUUGGGCGUAAAGAGCUCGUAGGCGGCUCGUUGCGUCAACCGUGAAAACCCGGGGCUUAACUUCGGGCUUGCGGUAGAUACGGGCGGGCUGGAGUUCGGUAGGGGAGACUGGAAUUCCUGGUGUAGCGGUGAAAUGCGCAGAUAUCAGGAGGAACACCGGUGGCGAAGGCGGGUCUCUGGGCCGAUACUGACGCUGAGGAGCGAAAGCGUGGGGAGCGAACAGG